UACACAGCAUUCCUGCUAGUUACAGCAUUAAUGCUCUGUGUCCCUGCAACCCAGAGAACAACAGACAAAGGGAAAGUUUCUUUCCCAAUUUUAAAAAGUUCUACCUUUCCAUUGACUCUCUUGGUCAGGUGCCCACUCCUUUUCUUUUACCUGUGGGC